GUUUAUUCAAAAAAUGAGAUUCAUCUCAUUUCAUUAGCAAUUCCCUGUCUUUAAAAGCUACCUAAUGGGUGGAAAAAAGAAUACAUAAAUAUGUUAAAACAAAAACCUUCUAACCAGACACCAUCCUCCACAGCUCAAUACUAACCAGAACUAAGUAAUUUACAGCCACUGGUUAGAGGAUCGCCCCGAGGUAUAUGAGAUGUGACACUGCUAAACUUUGCGAAACGCCAACAUCAGCUGUCCAACUAGCACAGAGGCAAGCUAGAAGAAGAGAGAAAAGAGUCUUUUAACAUUCAAAUGCUAGAAGCACUGAUAUACUAAUAUUUCAUUCCAUCAAGUUUCUCAGCAGAAGGGCGAGAAAUUCUGAACGGGUGUUGACUAUGCAUGCUACCUCUAACUCCACUUCAGCAACAUCUAACCAGAAUAUUCCAUGUUGUAUCUAAGAUUAAAGAGCAUGUUACGACGAUUCUCUGCACCCAUUCGGAUGUUAAACUUCUUGGUCAACUCCUCAACUCGAUCAUCAGAUUCAUAAUCCAUCUCUCGAGUACAUCGUCUUCGGAUCUUCUUCAGCAUCUCCUUGGAAGGUUUAUACUGGGC
rnacentral:misc_RNA from 1 species